GAUGAAGGAACGUAGCGAAAUGCGAUAAGUAAUGUGAAUUGCAGAAUCCAGUGAAUCAUCGAAUCUUUGAACGCACAUUGCGCCCGCCAGCAUUCUGGCGGGCAUGCCUGUUCGAGCGUCAUUUCAACCCUCGACCUCCCCUUGGGGAGGUCGGCGUUGGGGACCGGCAGCACACCGCCGGCCCUGAAAUGGAGUGGCGGCCCGUCCGCGGCGACCUCUGCGUAGUAAUACAGCUCGCACCGGAACCCCGACGCGGCCACGCCGUAAAACACCCAACUUCUGAACGUUGACCUCGAAUCAGGUAGGACUACCCGCUGAACUUAAGCAUAUCAAUAAGCGGAGGA
rnacentral:misc_RNA from 1 species